GGGUUGUGAGGUUAAGCGAACAAGCGUACACGGUGGAUGCCCUGGCAGUCAGAGGCGAUGAAGGACGUGCUAAUCUGCGAAAAGCGCCGGUAAGGUGAUAUGAACCGUUAUAACCGGCGAUGUCCGAAUGGGGAAACCCGGUGCACUUCGGUGCAUCAUCGUUAGCUGAAUACAUAGGCUAACGAGGCGAACCGGGGGAACUGAAACAUCUAAGUACCCCGAGGAAAAGAAAUCAACCGAGAUUCCCCCAGUAGCGGCGAGCGAACGGGGAACAGCCCAGAGCCUGAAUCAGCUUGUGUGUCAGUGGAACGGUCUGGAAAGGCCGGCGAUACAGGGUGACAGCCCCGUACACGAAGGCACACAGGCUGUGAGCUCGAUGAGUAGGGCGGGACACGUGAUAUCCUGUCUGAAGAUGGGGGGACCAUCCUCCAAGGCUAAAUACUCCUGACUGACCGAUAGUGAACCAGUACCGUGAGGGAAAGGCGAAAAGAACCCCGGCGAGGGGAGUGAAACAGAACCUGAAACCGUGUACGUACAAGCAGUGGGAGCCUUCGUAAGAGGGUGACUGCGUACCUUUUGUAUAAUGGGUCAGCGACUUAUAUUCUGUAGCAAGGUUAACCGUAUAGGGGAGCCGAAGGGAAACCGAGUCUUAACCGGGCGUUAAGUUGCAGGGUAUAGACCCGAAACCCGGUGAUCUAGCCAUGGGCAGGUUGAAGGUUGGGUAACACUAACUGGAGGACCGAACCGACUAAUGUUGAAAAAUUAGCGGAUGACCUGUGGCUGGGGGUGAAAGGCCAAUCAAACCGGGAGAUAGCUGGUUCUCCCCGAAAGCUAUUUAGGUAGCGCCUCGUGAACUCAUCUCCGGGGGUAGAGCACUGUUUCGGCUAGGGGGCCAUCCCGGCUUACCAACCCGAUGCAAACUGCGAAUACCGGAGAAUGUUAUCACGGGAGACACACGGCGGGUGCUAACGUCCGUCGUGAAGAGGGAAACAACCCAGACCGCCAGCUAAGGUCCCAAAGUCAUGGUUAAGUGGGAAACGAUGUGGGAAGGCCCAGACAGCCAGGAUGUUGGCUUAGAAGCAGCCAUCAUUUAAAGAAAGCGUAAUAGCUCACUGGUCGAGUCGGCCUGCGCGGAAGAUGUAACGGGGCUAAACCAUGCACCGAAGCUGCGGCAGCGACGCUUAUGCGUUGUUGGGUAGGGGAGCGUUCUGUAAGCCUGCGAAGGUGUGCUGUGAGGCAUGCUGGAGGUAUCAGAAGUGCGAAUGCUGACAUAAGUAACGAUAAAGCGGGUGAAAAGCCCGCUCGCCGGAAGACCAAGGGUUCCUGUCCAACGUUAAUCGGGGCAGGGUGAGUCGACCCCUAAGGCGAGGCCGAAAGGCGUAGUCGAUGGGAAACAGGUUAAUAUUCCUGUACUUGGUGUUACUGCGAAGGGGGGACGGAGAAGGCUAUGUCGGCCGGGCGACGGUUGUCCCGGUUUAAGCGUGUAGGCUGACUUUCCAGGCAAAUCCGGAAAGUUAAGGCUGAGGCGUGAUGACGAGGCACUACGGUGCUGAAGUGACAAAUGCCCUGCUUCCAGGAAAAGCCUCUAAGCAUCAGGUAACAUCAAAUCGUACCCCAAACCGACACAGGUGGUCAGGUAGAGAAUACCAAGGCGCUUGAGAGAACUCGGGUGAAGGAACUAGGCAAAAUGGUGCCGUAACUUCGGGAGAAGGCACGCUGACAUGUAGGUGAAGCCCCUGCGGGUGGAGCUGAAGUCAGUCGAAGAUACCAGCUGGCUGCAACUGUUUAUUAAAAACACAGCACUGUGCAAACACGAAAGUGGACGUAUACGGUGUGACGCCUGCCCGGUGCCGGAAGGUUAAUUGAUGGGGUUAUCGCAAGAGAAGCUCCUGAUCGAAGCCCCGGUAAACGGCGGCCGUAACUAUAACGGUCCUAAGGUAGCGAAAUUCCUUGUCGGGUAAGUUCCGACCUGCACGAAUGGCGUAAUGAUGGCCAGGCUGUCUCCACCCGAGACUCAGUGAAAUUGAACUCGCUGUGAAGAUGCAGUGUACCCGCGGCAAGACGGAAAGACCCCGUGAACCUUUACUACAGCUUGACACUGAACAUUGAGCCUUGAUGUGUAGGAUAGGUGGGAGGCUUUGAAGCGUGGACGCCAGUCUGCGUGGAGCCGACCUUGAAAUACCACCCUUUAAUGUUUGAUGUUCUAACCUGGCGCCAUAAUCUGGCGUGGGGACAGUGUCUGGUGGGUAGUUUGACUGGGGCGGUCUCCUCCCAAAGUGUAACGGAGGAGCACGAAGGUCAGCUAAUCCUGGUCGGACAUCAGGAGGUUAGUGCAAUGGCAUAAGCUGGCUUGACUGCGAGAGUGACGGCUCGAGCAGGUGCGAAAGCAGGUCAUAGUGAUCCGGUGGUUCUGUAUGGAAGGGCCAUCGCUCAACGGAUAAAAGGUACUCCGGGGAUAACAGGCUGAUACCGCCCAAGAGUUCAUAUCGACGGCGGUGUUUGGCACCUCGAUGUCGGCUCAUCACAUCCUGGGGCUGAAGUAGGUCCCAAGGGUAUGGCUGUUCGCCAUUUAAAGUGGUACGCGAGCUGGGUUUAGAACGUCGUGAGACAGUUCGGUCCCUAUCUGCCGUGGGCGCUGGAGAAUUGAGGGGGGCUGCUCCCAGUACGAGAGGACCGGAGUGGACGCAUCACUGGUGUUCGGGUUGUCAUGCCAAUGGCACUGCCCGGUAGCUAAAUGCGGAAGAGAUAAGUGCUGAAAGCAUCUAAGCACGAAACUUGCCCCGAGAUGAGUUCUCCCUGAGACUAUAAGUCUCCUGAAGGAACGUUGAAGACGACGACGUUGAUAGGCCGGGUGUGUAAGCGCAGCGAUGCGUUGAGCUAACCGGUACUAAUGAACCGUGAGGCUUAACCUUA
rnacentral:rRNA from 1 species